CCUACGGGCGGCUGCAGUGGGGAAUAUUGGACAAUGGGGGCAACCCUGAUCCAGCCAUGCCGCGUGUGUGAAGAAGGCCCUCGGGUUGUAAAGCACUUUCAGUGAGGAAGAACGCCUGGUGGUUAAUACCCAUCAGGAAAGACAUCACUCACAGAAGAAGCACCGGCUAACUCCGUGCCAGCAGCCGCGGUAAUACGGAGGGUGCGAGCGUUAAUCGGAAUUACUGGGCGUAAAGCGCGCGUAGGUGGCUUGAUAAGCCGGUUGUGAAAGCCCCGGGCUCAACCUGGGAACGGCAUCCGGAACUGUCGAGCUAGAGUGCAGGAGAGGAAGGUAGAAUUCCCGGUGUAGCGGUGAAAUGCGUAGAGAUCGGGAGGAAUACCAGUGGCGAAGGCGGCCUUCUGGACUGACACUGACACUGAGGUGCGAAAGCGUGGGUAGCAAACAGGAUUAGAUACCCUGGUAGUC
rnacentral:rRNA from 1 species